UGUAGUCAUAUGCUUGUCUCAAAGAUUAAGCCAUGCAUGUCUAAGUAUAAGCAAUUAUACAGCGAAACUGCGAAUGGCUCAUUAAAUCAGUUAUCGUUUAUUUGAUAGUACCUUACUACAUGGAUAACCGUGGUAAUUCUAGAGCUAAUACAUGCUAAAAAUCCCGACUUCGGAAGGGAUGUAUUUAUUAGAUUAAAAACCAAUGCCCUUCGGGGCUCUCUGGUGAUUCAUAAUAACUUCUCGAAUCGCACGGCCUUGCGCCGGCGAUGGUUCAUUCAAAUUUCUGCCCUAUCAACUUUCGACGGCUGGGUCUUGGCCAGCCGUGGUGACAACGGGUAACGGAGGGUUAGGGCUCGACCCCGGAGAAGGAGCCUGAGAAACGGCUACUACAUCCAAGGAAGGCAGCAGGCGCGCAAAUUACCCAAUCCCGACACGGGGAGGUAGUGACAAUAAAUACUGAUACAGGGCUCUUUUGGGUCUUGUAAUUGGAAUGAGUACAAUUUAAAUCCCUUAACGAGGAACAAUUGGAGGGCAAGUCUGGUAAUCG
rnacentral:rRNA from 1 species